CUAUAUCUAGAUCAUAUGCAAACUUGACGAGAUUAUGCGAUUCAAAAUUAAAAUUCCUACACCAGAAAAUAAAAUUACAAGAUUGAAACCCAGCCUUGCACUCCAAUAUUUCAUGUAGAAUCGUACCCUGACUUCCUCCCGAGCAUUGCCUAAUGUUCUUCACGAGUACAUGAUAGUCUGAGGCCACACAAAGUUUAUGCUGCGUAGAUCUUCCGCAAGUGACAUAGCCUCUGGACAUGAAAAGAUUCAAGUGUUGUGGGGUCUAUGACGCCACUUAAUAAUAUUUGCCGAAUUAAGCUCCCUGGUAAAUACCAUUUCCAUUCCUAUUGCCGUCGCUACGCUGCUCCUGUACGACCAUUGUUAUUGCCCCUUUCACAUUAAUUUCAUAUAUAACUCUCCGGCGGUGACAGCCAGCAUUCACAUAGAUCCCUGUCGAAG
rnacentral:lncRNA from 1 species